rnacentral:rRNA from 1 species
GUACGCUGGCGGCACGCCUUAUACAUGCAAGUCGAACGAAGUAGCAAUACUUAGUGGCAGACGGGUGAGUAACAUGUGGGUAUCUUCCCUUUGGUGAGGAAUAACACGAGGAAACUUGUGCUAAUACCUCAUAAGUCUUUACGGAGAAAGCUUUAUGCGCCAAUGGAUGAGCCUGCACUUGAUUAGUUAGUUGGUGGGGUAAUGGCCUACCAAGACUUUGAUCAAUAGCUGAUUUGAGAGGAUGAUCAGCCACAUUGGGACUGAGACACGGCCCAAACUCCUACGGGAGGCAGCAGUAAGGAAUCUUGCACAAUGGAGGAAACUCUGAUGCAGCGAUGCCGCGUGAGUGAAGAAGGCCCUUGGGUUGUAAAGCUCUUUCGUCGGGGAAGAAAAUGACUGUACCCGAAUAAGAAGGUCCGGCUAACUCGUGCC